rnacentral:rRNA from 1 species
UACGGAGGGUGCGAGCGUUGUCCGGAUUUAUUGGGUUUAAAGGGUGCGUAGGUGGCUUGUUAAGUCAGUGGUGAAAUACAGCCGCUCAACGGUUGAGGUGCCAUUGAUACUGAUAAGCUUGAAAGAAUUGGAGGCUGCCGGAAUGGAUGGUGUAGCGGUGAAAUGCAUAGAUAUCAUCCAGAACACCGAUUGCGAAGGCAGGUGGCUACGAUUUAUUUGACACUGAGGCACGAAAGCAUGGGGAGCAAACAGGAUUAGAUACCCUGGUAGUCCAUGCCGUAAACGAUGAGGACUCGCUGUUGGCAUUCAAUUGUCAGCGGCUUAGGGAAACCGUUAAGUCCUCCACCUGGGGAGUACGCCGGCAACGGUGAA